GUAAACGGGUGGCGUCAAGCUGCGAACCCAGAGGAUUCAGCUGGCUAGGAUGUCGUGAUGCGCCUGCGCAUCGAUCAGUCGGAAUAAGAUGUGAUAGUCCACUGGGAGACGGUGGGCCCGGCCGCAAGGUUGGGAUAUGUGUACCGGGUGUUAGCCGGAGCAUGCUAUUCAUCUGUUGGGCUGCCUAGUCAGUGCACUUUCUCUGUGGUGAACACCACGACCGGUGGAAUUGCCAGUCUGCUGUAGUCGAGUCUUGCUGAGAGGGUCCUUGUGGCCAACUUGGUGAGAUCACAGGCAAUGUCAGUGUACGGCGUAGGAGUGCCUUUGGUGUUCUUACGUGUUAUCGGGUGCUGCUUGUCAACGGGCCUGCUCGGUGGUUGUUGUAACUGCCACUGGGUGGUCUGGUGGGCUAUGGUGGUAAGAAAAACUGUGCAAGGCACCGGGGAUGUCGGCCUCAAAAGCACUCUGCACUGGCAUGUUACAAGUGCGUGGGGGUGUCAUUGCGGUCUGCCUGUUGUUGAGUCUGAUUGUCGUGUCGCCUGCGCAAAGUGGGCCCGGCAGUGGCUUAAUGCAGGAUGGGCUGUGGAUGGUGUCUCUCGGGUGUGGAGUGCGGUGGGCCCAAUAGUCAGUGGUGCUGUGGUAGACGAGCUACCCGACCCGUCUUGAAACACGGACCAAGGAGUUUAACAUGUAUGCAAGUCAAGGGGUCCUACGAAACCCAAAGGCGCAGUGAAAGUAAAGCUUCGACUUGUUCUCGGAGUGAGGUGAGAUCCUGCCGUGACUCGCAUCGCUUGGUGUC
rnacentral:rRNA from 1 species